AUCCAGCUGACGAAUCUCAAAUAGGACAAAACGCUUGUCCUGGAU
rnacentral:hammerhead_ribozyme from 1 species